CGGUGAAGUGUUCGGAUCGCGGCGACGUGGGCGGUUCGCCGCCGAUGACGUCGCGAGAAGUCCACUGAACCUUAUCAUUUAGAGGAAGGAGAAGUCG
rnacentral:rRNA from 1 species